rnacentral:rRNA from 1 species
UACAGAGGGGGCAAGCGUUAUUCGGAAUUAUUGGGCGUAAAGGGCGCGUAGGCGGCCUGGCAAGUGACGGGUGAAAGCCCUCGGCUCAACCGAGGAACUGCCUGUCAUACUGCCGGGCUUGAGUCCGGGAGAGGUGAGUGGAAUUCCCAGUGUAGCGGUGAAAUGCGUAGAUAUCAAGUGGAACACCAGUGGCGAAGGCGAGUCCCUGGACAACUCCUGACACUGAGGCACGAAAGCUAGGGGAGCAAACAGG